UACGUAGGUGGCAAGCGUUGUCCGGAUUUACUGGGCGUAAAGAGCGCGCAGGCGGUCGAUCAAGUCGCGUGUGAAAGCCCCCGGCUCAACUGGGGAGGGUCACGCGAUACUGAUCGACUCGAAGGCAGGAGAGGGUAGUGGAAUUCCUGGUGUAGUGGUGAAAUUCGUAGAUAUUCGGAGGAACACCAGUGGCGAAGGCGGCUCACUGGUCCAUUACUGACGCUGAGGUGCGAAAGCGUGGGGAGCAAACAGG
rnacentral:rRNA from 1 species